rnacentral:rRNA from 1 species
UACGAAGGGGGGCUAGCGUUGCUCGGAAUCACUGGGCGUAAAGCGCACGUAGGCGGAUUGCUAAGUCAGGGGGUGAAAAUCCUGGAGCUCAACUCCAGAACUGCCUUUUGAUACUGGCGAUCUCGAGUCCGGGAGAGGUGAGUGGAACUGCGAGUGUAGAGGUGAAAAUUCGUAGAUAUUCGCAAGAACACCAGUGGCGAAGGCGGCUCACUGGCCCGGUACUGACGCUGAGGUGCGAAAGCGUGGGGGAGCAAACAGG